GGGGAAAGGCUGGGUGGCCUGGCUCUCAGCUGGCUGGAGAGAUAUGGCCCUAGUGCUAUGGAGACUGGUCUGAGCUGGAGAGGUCCUGGGCACAGGCACCCAUCAGCCCCAGGCCACCUUUUGAGGGAUCCAGUGUGAUAGAAGGCUGACUGCAGAGGAGGGAAGAGCACUGUGUGGGGGCUUCAGCGGGCACCUGCCUUGUCUGCAAGCCAGGAGAGUCGCAUUUAUCUGCAUCAACUGAGCUCUGGAGCUGUCUACCCACGAAGGAGAAUCAUCACCUCCGUUCUACAGACGCAUACAAAUGUUGUCAAAGCCAAAGCCACUGAAACACGCAUCUCCACAAACACCUUGCCUAAGACCUGUGAAUGAUCUGCGUCUUUCCUGAAUUAGCCUCCUUUGAGAAUGCUAGCAGAAGACAUGCGAUUCCUGGGGUAGAGAGGAAGGAUUGUUUUGUAAUCACAGCAGAAACAGUAGCCAAGCCCCUGAGCAAGAGGAUUACGUGGCCUUAUAGGGGAGAAACUCAGAGCUUAGGAUACCCAAGUCCUAGGGAGCUUCCUUCCUCUGCCAUGGCUUGCCACAGUUACACCGUCCAUUGUUUCUCUGUGAGAGUGUAGUCAUCCAAGGGUUCUGGACUUUCUCUGAAUCUCAGGCUGUUCAGAAACAAGCCUUUGACCUGUUUCGUACCACUGUGAGCCUGGGGCUAGGACAGCAGCAAAGAGUA